CUGUGGCGCAGGCUUGAACCGGCGCCGCAGUUUAACCAGAGCAACGGCUUACAAGGCUGUUGCUCUUAUUUUGAAGAAAUGAAGACCAGCAGGGGCAUCCGGGCUGGUACCCGGACUAUCAGCGUGAUUCUGAGUGGCUUGUUUUGGUCGCUGUAUUCCGACUGCUUCAAGCUUGCUUGGUGUAUUCGCCGGUGGUGUCCCCUAACCGAGGGUGACCA
rnacentral:ncRNA from 1 species